rnacentral:rRNA from 1 species
GAUGAACGCUGGCGGCGUGCCUAAUACAUGCAAGUCGAGCGAACAGACGAGGAGCUUGCUCCUCUGACGUUAGCGGCGGACGGGUGAGUAACACGUGGAUAACCUACCUAUAAGACUGGGAUAACUUCGGGAAACCGGAGCUAAUACCGGAUAAUAUAUUGAACCGCAUGGUUCAAUAGUGAAAGACGGUUUUGCUGUCACUUAUAGAUGGAUCCGCGCCGCAUUAGCUAGUUGGUAAGGUAACGGCUUACCAAGGCAACGAUGCGUAGCCGACCUGAGAGAGUGAUCGGCCACACUGGAGCGGAGACGCGGACCAGACUCCUGCGGGAGGCAGCAGUAGGGAAUCUUCCGCAGUGGGCGAGAGCCUUACGGAGCAACGCGGCGUGAGUGAUGAAGGUCUUCGGAUCGUAAAGCUCUGUUAUUAGGGGAGAACAAAUGUGUAAGUAACUAUACACGUCUUGACGGUACCUGGUCAGAAAGCCACGGCUAACUACGUG